GAACAUACCACUUGUUGCCUCGGCGGAUCAGCCCGCUCCCGGUAAAACGGGACGGCCCGCCAGAGGACCCCUAAACUCUGUUUCUAUAUGUAACUUCUGAGUAAAACCAUAAAUAAAUCAAAACUUUCAACAACGGAUCUCUUGGUUCUGGCAUCGAUGAAGAACGCAGCAAAAUGCGAUAAGUAAUGUGAAUUGCAGAAUUCAGUGAAUCAUCGAAUCUUUGAACGCACAUUGCGCCCGCCAGUAUUCUGGCGGGCAUGCCUGUUCGAGCGUCAUUUCAACCCUCAAGCACAGCUUGGUGUUGGGACUCGCGUUAAUUCGCGUUCCUCAAAUUGAUUGGCGGUCACGUCGAGCUUCCAUAGCGUAGUAGUAAAACCCUCGUUACUGGUAAUCGUCGCGGCCACGCCGUUAAACCCCAACUUCUGAAUGUUGACCUCGGAUCAGGUAGGAAUACCCGCUGAACUUAAGCAUA
rnacentral:rRNA from 1 species